GACGUAGGGGGGCAAGCGUUGUCCGGAUUUAUUGGGCGUAAAGAGCUCGUAGGCGGCUCAGAAAGUCGGGUGUGAAACCUCCAGGCUCAACCUGGAGACGCCACCUGAUACUGCUGUGGCUAGAGUCCGGUAGGGGAGCACGGAAUUCCCGGUGUAGCGGUGAAAUGCUUAGAUAUCGGGAGGAACACCAGUGGCGAAGGCGGUGCUCUGGGCCGGAACUGACGCUGAGGAGCGAAAGCGUGGGGAGCGAACAGG
rnacentral:rRNA from 1 species